GUUUGUUGAUUAGUUAGGGUUGUUUUCUUUGUUUUUGUUUUUUUUUUUAAUGGCUGACAUUUAUGAAAAACUGACCUACACACUGAUAGAGAUCCACUUGACUCAGAUAACAGAUAACCCUAGCUCUGUAUACUUCACAUGAACUGCUUUGGUUUCUUAAGUUAUGCUAGUCUGAAGUUUUGCAUCCUUUUCCUUUAGAAAUGCUUUUGGCUGUUUCCUUCAAUGUCUAGCAGUUGCAUAUUCUCAGGGAUUUUACUUACCCAAGGCAAAAUAAGAGUAAUCACAGCCUUACCCUAGGGGGGAGUAGGGCUGCUUUUUGUGAAGUUAGUAGAGGUGAGCAUAGAACUCUGAUACAGCCGUGCCCAUACAGUGUGCAUCCUUGCUGAGACAUGGUAAAUCCCAAAGCAAUCUGAUAGAAGUGCUAUCUAGUACUGGAUAAUUGCAGUCAGCAUAUUUCAAUAGAGAUCAUGAACACAUCUUUGUUAUGUAAUGUCAUUGGCAUUAGAGCAGAGCUCUCAAUUUCAGUCAAGUUCUGCUUAGUAAUCGGACACUUUUAUUUAUUUUAUUUAUUUGUGGUUUGGUUUUUAAACAAGCUAUGUUCUGGAGUCCCCUCUACUAUUUAAAGACACCAUAUUCAGUUUCAUAUUGAAGUUCUGUAACAUUUCAAUUGUAGAAUAUGACUACUGCAUACUCAAGUGUUUUAGUGUAAACAUAGUGAGUCCAACAUCCCUGUUUGACACUGUUGUGCUGUGGAUCUCCCUUUAACAGAUGCAUUUAAAGUUAAGGGCCAUGUACCUUCACUUACAAGCUUUGUAAAACAUCAUCAGGAUUUAAGUUACAGCUGUUUGCUUUUAAAAUCUUUCCUAGUUUGAAAAGUGUUGCUUGGUUGGUUUGACAUGUAAAAAGUAUGCCCAAAAUCUGCCCCAGGUGACUGCAGCCUGCUUUGGCAAAGGGGUGUGGGCCAUUAUAGAAAAAAGUACUAUGUAUAUCCAUAUGCUGGACCUUCUAACCCUUUCUUUCUUCAUUGUCACUUCAGCUUUUGUGAAAACCUUUAGGGAAGCUUUAACUGCCUUUCAGACACCAGGAAAGAUCAUUAGCAUGUUCCUACCUGGCUGUCUUGACCUUUCUUCCCAGCUGGUCCUUCCUUUCCUUUUCCAUUGUCAUCUGCUUUGCUAUCAAAGCUGUUGCUGUCAGAACAAACCAGGAUGAUUUGUAAGGCAUGCAAAUAUAAACUUGGAUAUUCAGACAUGAAUUCUUUGGCAGGCAAUGUAAAUUGGGCCAUUUCAGACUUGGGUGUUCUGCCUCACAGGAAUGAAAGCAUAAGGCUUUUUGGUUCUGUUGUUUUAUUUUGUUGUUUUAGUUUACUUCUUUCUCUUCUCUUGCCCACAUAGCGCAGAAAACAAAAAAAAAACAAACAAAAAAAACCAAAACAAAGUCCCAAAAACAAAAGCAGUGUGGAAAAAACUGAAUUCAUACCUCGUUGUUCUGUAGCCCCCUGGUGAACAAACCCUGCUAACUUCUUUUUACUCCAAGCAAUAUAAAACCUCCCUCAUGCAGGAGGGGUGUCAUAGUGCACUUAACUGGCUCUGAGCAGACCCAGGCCAUAGCUAACCCUGCUCACAGUUGACACAAGGAUUUAAGCACUUGCUUUGAAGUUAUGACAUAGGCAUAUGCUUCACUCACACACACGUGCACCAUCCCACUGGCAUGCAGUUCUUCAAAAUGCAGUCUUGGAUUGUCAUUUUUAAUACCCCUUUCUUGGUGUAAGAUUUCUCCCCCACAUACUUCAAAUGUGCUAAAGCUGGAUUUUUUUAAGUAUGAAUCUUCCUUGUUUUCGUUUCCUUAUUUCUGCUUAACACUAAGUAUGUCAACUUUCUUUUGCAUUUCAACAUUCAAGGGGUCCAAAAGUUAUUUAUUCCUUUAUUUAAAGUCAUGUUGAAAGUUUGAGAUUUAUGUCUACUUGAAACUGAGUAAAUUGCAUUCCAGAAUACAAUAAUUAAACUGAAAACCUAGGCAGCUUGCUUUUAUGGUUUCUUUUCCUUUUAUUUUUUUUGAAGCCAGUUUUGGGCAUACAUUUUUAUCAAUGUCAAGCUAAGCUUAAUGUAAGCCUUACUUUCCAUACUCAAAUAUAUACAUACCAAAAUACAUUUAAAGAUGAAAAGAAGGUAUAUUGCCUCACACUUUAAAUUUAUUGAAUUCUAAGGGCUUGUUCACGCCCCCCAAAUCACCUCUCUCAGUGUAAGCUUUGCACAAAUUGUGCUGUCAUAAGCAGUUCAGUCUGAAAUACUCUGGUUUCCAGUCUGCAUCAUCUCUCAAAUCAUACAGUGUCUGUCUCUUCUUUUGGAGCAUUGUUAAGACUUUGACAAACUUUUAUAUUAUUUCAUUAUAAUAAACUUAUUUUAAAUAAGCAUGCUUUUAAAUCUCGUUUUCUCCUUGCAUGGAUUUGGUUCUUUUAUUACAGUAUAGGGCCUAAGGUGCUCUUCAGGACUCCAUUUGUUAUGGGUACUGUGUGAACAGUCAAAAACAGUACGUUUCUGGUUGACAGAAACUGCCUGUAUGUAUCUUUGUAUGAAGAAUGUUAACACACAUAAAGCCUGUUUAGACUGCAAGAAUAAAAGCUGUAUCUGGCA